rnacentral:lncRNA from 1 species
AAUUCUUCGGUGUUUCACUUUUCAUAGCAAGACUCCGCCUUGAAGAAAUUUCAAAUUUUGAGUAAUUCUCGUCACAUAAGGUAUGAUUUAACUUCCUCUUUGAUCUUUGUAAACUUCUACCAUAAGAAUCCCUAAGAAAUAGUUGAAACCUCUAUGAAAAUUUCUUGAUUUUUUUAAGAAACCUCUCUUAAUAUGGCUUGAUUUUUGGGGCAGUUCUAUAUGGUUUUAUUGUAUUCUUUGGAUCUGUGAAGACAUGGAUGGAAUCCUGUCGAUGAGGAGAUGUAGUAAAGUAAAAUUUGGUGGUGUGUUGGGGGAAAAUUAAUCUACAAAAGAGUCUACAAAUUCAUGGCCACAAGUUGUUUGUGUAAAUGUCUAAAUGAAGAAUUAUAUAAGAUAUGAGCUUGAAUUUGAUAUUGAAUGCUUCGUAUUAUGUAGGAAAUCAUUCCUAAGGCUUUCGAGGUCUCGGAAACAGUAUAUAACUCCAUCGACAAGGUAUGUAGGGCUUUCGCUAUACUUUUCGGCAUGACUAGAAUUCGAAUAAACGUUUAUCGAAUUGUCUCUUCGGAUUUGAGUUAUUUUACCUUCAACUUAUAAAGAUGCUUAGAUCUGAUCCUUUAUCAUAGAUUGCUUACUCUAGAGAAUAUCUAUGAAUUCUCGGAUUUCCUUGUUCCUUGCUCAAAAAGAACUAGAGCCUUUUUACUCGUUCUCCUUUCGACGUUCAUAUAAACCAUGAAUAAGUAACACUUACUUCAAAGGUAUUCAUAAUACAUAACUCUCAUGUUGUUAGUACUUGUUGUCUCGUGGUAAAAAAAUUAAAUAUUUUAGCAACAACCAUGAUAGUCGAGGAAUAAUGAUGGUAGGCCACUUUGACUCUUCUUAGAAUACGUCUUUUAAGGUUAGUUUUGCAUUGCACUUAUAUAAUUCACGAUUUAAUACAUGUAUGUAUUUACUUUCAUUACCGAGCCGCACUAUAGACGGCCGGGUAUGACACCUAUUGUGUAACCACUGAUCAGUUGGGAUUACCGAGCUUCACGUGGCCGGGUACGAUUUUAUCGAGCCUUUAUUAUGGCCGGGUAUGUUAUGGAUAUUAUAGCCCCACAAAGGGAUUUAUUAUUAUAUAAUGUGAUAUAUUAUAAGUAGCGAUAGUGAAUGACGAUUUCACGAGCAUACAUUUAUAUCCAUGUUGAAUUUUAGUUUCCCACCGAGGCUAGUUUCAGAAUUCAAAUUGUCUUUAUAUCUCUUCUCUUGUUAAUUUCAUUUUUCAUGUUACACUUGUCGCCCUACUUAUUCAGUACAUAUUUCGUACUGACGCAUGUUUAUGCACUGUGUUCAUGCCCACAGGUUCGGAUAGACAGAACGGCGUGCCUCCUCAGUAGGACCCCCAGGAUCAGCGUUGGGUUUCACACUCCACUUCUUCGGAGUUGCUGACUUUGAGUCCAUAG